CUUGAGCGAGCCGAGCAGCAGCGGCUGUUCGGCGGAGUGACCGCGGCCGUAGGUGGCGAUCAGCGCCUGCGCCUC
rnacentral:antisense_RNA from 1 species